ACAGAGGGGCACUUUGGUUUGUAAUCCGUGUGUUUAGUGGAGACAGAAGAAUCUCUGGAAAGUCCUUGGCUGCCUGGCCUGGUGUACACAGUGCAGCUGCAAACAGCAGAGACGGAGCUUCAGAGAAGGGAGAAGAAGGUGGAGGGUGAAGCCUGACUUCUGAGUUGACACGUCUACUGUGAUGAUGCUGGAAGUCGUGAGCCAAUCCGCUUCACAUCUGACGUGGGGCAGACAGUGGACGGCGGAGGAGCUGCCUCGUUCCGGAGGCUGCGGAGUGGAGAUGGGUCAGAGCAUGCGCCCAACUGCUGGGUUCAGGUAGAGACGGUCCAGUGUGCCCUGGAGGGAAUUGGCCCUGGAAGGACCUGGGAAAACUGCAGUGAGCAAGGUUCUUUCUCCAGCUUGCUCCGAUUUGUGUCUUUAUUUUUACAAACUUAUGAAAUGCUAUCGACCAGAACUGAAGCAACGGAAAGAGAAGAAAGGAAGUAUUUGGUAAUCUGAAGAGAGCCCCAUGGCUGGGCUGAAACAUCUUGCAUUAGUCAGUGCUGCGGUAGGAAGCCAAGGACUGUAGAAAGAUAACUUUUUACAUUUCUUACGUAUUUAGAGACGCACGCCGCCCCCUUCAAGAUCCCAUUGCACAUGGCGAGGGAGUUGUUAGGAAACGGACUCUCUCCUCCGAGUGUCCCCAGUGUGUGUAUUUCUGGUUACGUUUUUAUGCUAAAGCUUUGAGGAACUAUGUUCUCAUGUAGCCAGGGAGGGAUGUGGUUCUAAAUAGAUGUGUUUGAAGAUCCACCAUCAUCAAUGAGCCGUUUUGCUAGAUCUGUUUUGGUGUGAGCCCUCCAAAGAAGAAAGUCUUUCUUUUUUCUUUUUUUCUUUAGCUUUUUGAGACAGGGUUUCUCUGUGUAGUCCUGGCUGUCCUGGAACUCAACUCUGCAGACCAGGCUGGCCUCGAACUCACAAUGAUCCGCCUGCCUCUGCCUCCUAAGUACUGGGAUUAAAGGCGUGCGCCACCACGGCCUGGCUAUAGUUGGCCUUUCUUACCUGCAUAUUUCAUACUCAGAUUCAGCCAACAAGCUUUAAAAAUAUAGCCAGGCUCACAUACUUAGCGUGUAUAGACUUUCCUCCUUACCUUUAUAACACAAAUAAUAGGAGACAGCUAUGUGGGGAGCUUUACACUGUAUGAGGUAUUGUAAGUAAACUAGAUAUGACCUCAAGUGUAUAGGAGGAUGGGUGCCGAUUUGAGUAAAAUAUUGCAUCAUUUUAUACAAGGGAUUUGAACUUCCGUUGACUUGGCUUCCUUGGGGCCCUGGACCAGUCCUAUACAGAUGCCCUGGACCAGUCCCAUACAGAUGCCCUGGAACAUCUACAGUGUUUUUUAAGUUUUUCCCUGUGAACAUAAAGACAAAUGAACCCAGUCCCCCUAACCAGCUGCCCCUCUCCAGGUUUCUGCAGACCGUUGUCUUUGGUUGAAUGUCUGGGAUCCUGUGGACACAAGAGGGAAAAGGUUAUAUUUUCUUGGACCUCUAACUGCAGCGCAAUAUAAACUUCAUUCAUGAAUGGUGACAAACCUUGAGGGCUAAAUUUGAACACAAUCGAGAAUAUUUUGGACCUGGAAGGAGGCUGGGCAUCAAAAUAACCACUGCUGCUGAGCAAGCCUUUGAAACCACAGACUGCAGGGAAGGCGGCCUGGUGAAGCAUUCCAAAGGCAUUCGUGUGUCUUCUGCUUUCCCGACACCGCCACACUUGGCAGAGAAGGCACAAACGUAUUUUCCAUGUUGCGAAAAUAGGAAAUGAGGUGUAAGGAGUCUGGGAGAAUUAUUACCCAAGAUCGCAGUGAGUCAGAGGCUUCGGAAGCACCACAGAAGACCCGAAUCCCUGAUCGUGACCCCAGAUCGGCUGUGUGCAGGCCUUGCGGUCUCAGAGAAGAAUGCGGUCGUUUCACUUUCGCUUUUGCUCCUGUUCGGCCUCUUUUCUAGUCACGGAGGAGACACUGAGUUGAUUAACCCCAAGGUUACUGUGGAGGAUGGGACUAAAGGACCAAGCCAAAUUAGGUUUUUCAAGCUCAUGGGAGUUUGGAGGCCCUGAUGUGGAUACUCAAGAUGUUACUGUCUCAAAGGCACAGCCCAGGAGAUUUUGAUGAGUUCUUACCGUGUAGCUCUGGCUGACUUGGAUUCGUAGUGUAAACCAGACUGGAAUCAAACUCAUAAGGAUCUAUCUGCCUCUUCUUCCCAAGUGCUGGGAUUAAACGCCUGUGUCACACGUGCCCGGCCUUCCUUCCUAGCUUUCUACUUUCAGGAAAUACCACUCGGGACUCAGUCUUUCAUUCCCCACAAAGGUCAGAAGAGGUCAUUGGAUCCCCUGGAACUGGAGUUGCAGGUGAUUGUGAGCCACUAUGUGGGUGCGAGAAUCAAACCCAGGUCUUUGCAAGAGUUUUUACAAAUGCCCUUGCCUGCUAAGCUAUCUCAGGUUGUUGACCGAGUGGGAAGACCCAUCCUGAAGGAGGGCAGCACCAUUCCUUAGCCUAGGUCCUGAGCUGUAUGUAAAUGAGGGAAGGAAACUGAACUUAAGCAAGCAAGGGUGUAUAUAUUCUCUUGGGUCUUGAUUUUGGAUGUGAUGGGACUGGCUGCUUGAAUUCUUGACUUGAUUUCCCCAAAAUGAUGGACUGUAACCCAGAAUGGUAAGCCAAAUAAACCCUUUCUUCUUUAAACUGA